CCCGCAUGAUGAUAUCAUGGCAAGUUUGAUGAUUCAGUCAAACCAAUAGAUUUGUUGUUUCUCGCCAGCUGUCAGAUGGGUAAUCUUGGUGUUGUGGUUGAGUUGUAUUGCACCGCUGUAAGGGCCCAUCCACAGUUAACAUGUCACUUUCCGUAACCUUUUCCCCCCCCAAGAGCAGUGGGACGGGCCAGGUCGGAGAUGACAGACAAUGUGUGGAUGAUUGUUUUUGUGUGUUGUAUGAAUGUACAUGGAUCAGCUGGCAAGAGGAUAGAGUCUAUAGUUGGUUUGACAUGUAUGAAUUACAGUCUUUGGUAAACUGAGGGCA